rnacentral:rRNA from 1 species
CACGUAGGCGGUGAAUCGGGUUGAAAGUGAAAGUCGCCAAAAAGUGGCGGAAUGCUCUCGAAACCAAUUCACUUGAGUGAGACAGAGGAGAGUGGAAUUUCGUGUGUAGGGGUGAAAUCCGUAGAUCUACGAAGGAACGCCAAAAGCGAAGGCAGCUCUCUGGGUCCCUACCGACGCUGGGUGCGAAAGCAUGGGGAGCGAACA